UACAGAGGUCUCAAGCGUUGUUCGGAUUCAUUGGGCGUAAAGGGUGUGUAGGUGGCGCGCUAAGUCGGGUGUGAAAUUUCGAGGCUUAACUUCGAAACUGCAUUCGAUACUGCCGUGCUUGAGGACUGGAGAGGAGACUGGAAUUUACGGUGUAGCGGUGAAAUGCGUAGAUAUCGUAAGGAAGACCAGUGGCGAAGGCGGGUCUCUGGACAGUUCCUGACGCUGAGGCACGAAGGCCAGGGGAGCAAAACGGG
rnacentral:rRNA from 1 species